CUCAGUAUAUUUUGAAUAUAAAAUAAAUGUAAAUGUAGAACAUGGGGCUUGACAAAAAACGAAUAAAUUACAGAAAUGCACGGUGAUGAAGCCAGGGUGUUGCUAGGCUUCCCUCCCAAUUAUCGCCCCACAAUCUCUCAGGUUAAAGCAGCUUAUCGAAGGAAGGUAUGGGAGUCUCAUCCUGACCUUUUUCCACUUGACAAAAAGCCUCAUGCUGAGUCUAAGUUCAAACUGAUUUCAGAAGCGUAUACUUGCCUGCUCUCUGUUUUGGUAACUAGUUCAAGCUACAUUUGAUGCUUUUGAGGAAUAUAUACAAGCCAGCUCAACCUUUGCGAGCCAUGAGGCUGAUGAUUCAUUGUACGACUGAAAGUUCUUUAUUCCCCUUUCUUAUGCCAAAUAAAUAAAGUUGCUGAGAGCCGCUUGUCAUGUGGUUGAAGAGAUGGCCCCCACUUCGGUCUACAGGAUAUGUUGACCCUGGAUGGGAACAUGGAAUUGCUCAAGAUGAAAGGAAAAAAAAGGUCAAAUGCAACUAUUGUGGGAAAAUUGUUAGUGGUGGAAUAUUCAGACUGAAGCAGCAUUUAGCUAGAAUUUCUGGGGAAGUUACUCACUGUGAAAGGUUUCCAGAUGAAGUAUGCUUGAAUAUGAGAAAAAACCUGGAAGGGUGUCGUUCUGGUAGGAAACGAAGGCAAUCUGAAUAUGAACAGCCAUUGUUCAGUUGCAAUUCUAGUGAUUAUGAUGUCACAGAACACACACUUGCUGGUUAUAAACACAAAGGCAAGAAAGUGAUGGGUGAUAAGAACUUGGUGAUAAGAUUUGCUCCUCUUUGAUCGCUAGGAUAUGUGGACCCGGGAUGGGAACAUUGUGUUGCUCAAGAUGAUAAGAAGAAAAGAGUAAAGUGCAAUUACUGUGAAAAGAUAAUUAGUGGAGGCAUAAAUCGUUUUAAACAACAUCUGGCUAGGAUACCUGGUGAAGUUUCAUAUUGUGAGAAGGCACCAGAAGAUGUGUAUCUUAAAAUUAAGGAGAACAUGAAAGGGCACCGUACAGGCAGAAGGCACCGGAAACCUGAUACCAAAGAGAUAUCUGCUUUUUACACACAUUCAGAUAAUGAGGAUGAGGAGGAAGAUCAGGAUGGUAGGUUCUUACAAUGUGUAAGUAAAGACAUAGUGGCCAUUGAUGAUAAUGUUUCCGAUAGUGACUUUAGAUACAAUGUCAAGGGUAGGUCGCCUUGUAGCAGUGGCAAUGGUGCUGAACCACUAAUGAGAAGAUCAAGAUUGGAUUCUGUAUUUCUGAAGACACUGAGAAACCAGACAUCAGCACACUGCAGGGAAGUGAAAGCCAAUACAGGUUUUGAGAAGAGAACUCGCAAGGAAGUGAUAUCGGCAAUUUGCAAGUUUUUCUACCAUGCCGGAAUUCCUUCAAAUGCAGCCAACUCCCCAUAUUUCCACAAAAUGCUGGACCUAGUUGGUCAAUAUGGUCAAGGUUUUCAAGGUCCUUCAAGUCGAUCGAUUUCUGGUCGAUUGCUCCAGGAUGAAAUCGCAACAAUUUGAGAGAACUUAGCAGAGCUUAGGGCCUCUUGGUCACUUACUGGUUGUUCUGUCAUGGCUGAUAGUUGGAAUGAUGUGCAGGGUAGGACAUUAAUAAACUUUUUGGUUUCUUGCCCCCAUGGUUUUUAUUUUUUAUCUUCUGUCGAUGUCACUGAUACAGUAGAAGAUGCUGCAAGCAUUUUCAAGUUGUUGGAUGAAGUGGUUGAAGAGAUCGGUGAGGGGAAUGUUGUCCAGGUAAUCACUAAGAACACUGUUAGUUUCAAAGCUGCUGGAAAAAUGCUUGAAGAAAAAAGAAGAAAUUUAUUUUGGACACCAUGUGCUGUCUACUGCAUUGAUCUAAUUCUUGAGGAUAUUCUGAGUAUAAAAUGGGUAGGGGAAUGCUUAGAUAGAGCAAAAAAAAUUACAAGGUUUAUUUAUAACAGUACAUGGUUGUUGAGUUUUAUGAAGGAAUUUACAAAGGGACAGGAACUCCUUAGACCUGCAACCACUAAGUUUGCCACUAUUUUUUAACUUUAGAGAGUUUGUUGGAGCAAAGGACUGGUCUUAAGAGAAUGUUCUAAUCAAACAAGUGGCUUUCUUCCCGUUUUGCCAAGUCUGAUGAAGGUAAAGAUAUGGAAAAAAAUGUCUUAAAUGCGGCAUUUUGGAAAAAGAUGCUGUAUGUGAGGAAAAGUCUAGAACCAGUUGCACAAGUUCUCCAGAAAAUAGAAAGUGAUGCAAGCAGGUCAAUUUCUCGUAUAUAUAAUGACAUGUGUAGAGCAAAAUUUGCUAUUAAAGCAAUUCAUGGUGAUGAUAUACGAAAAUAUGGACCAUUCUGGAACGCUAUUGACAACCAGUGGAACUUAUUGUUCCACCAUCCUCUUCAUGUGGCUGCUUGCUUUCUCAAUCCGUCCUAUCGUUAUUGUCCUGAUUUUAUUAUGAAUCCUGAGAUAAUCCGUGGCUUAAAUGAAUGUAUUGUUCGACUAGAAACUGAUAAUGGGAAUAGGAUAUCUGCAUCCAUGCAGAUUCCUGAUUUUGUAUCUGCUAGAGCUGACUUUGGUACUGACUCAGCUAUAAGUACGAGAACAGAACUUGAUCCAGCUGCAUGGUGGCAACAACAUGGGAUAUGAUGCUUGGAACUACAGCAAAUUGCCAUACGUAUACUAAGCUAGACAUGCUCAUCUGUAACAUGUGAGCACAGUUGGAGUACUUAUGAUCAAAUUCACUGCAAAAGACGUAAUUCUCUGUCUCAGAAGAGAUGGAAUGACCUCACCUAUGUUCACUACAAUGUGCGACUCAGGGAGCACCAAAUGGGAAGAAAGUGUGAUGAUGUGAUUUCUUUUGAAAAUACCAUGCUGGAAAGCAUACUGGAUGACUGGCUAGUGGAGUCAGAGAAGCAAUCUGUUCAAGAAGAUGAGGAGAUCCUUUUCAUGAGAUGGAACAAUUUUUCAGAGAUGAAAUGGAUGAGGACGAAAAUGAAGGAAGGAGACCAGCAGAAAUGGUUACACUGGCUGGUUUGGUUGAACCUUUGGAAGUUAAUCCUGCUUCCGGAGGUGUUACCACUGAUGAUGAUGCUCUUGAUUUUCUUGAUGAUGAUUUGACAGAUUAGUUUAUUGGAAUGUGGCACAUCAAACCUGGAGUACGCAGUGAGAUUGUCUUAUACAGUAAAUGUUAUUGAUAGGAAGUAAUCUGAUGUUAUCAAAGAUCAAUUCUUAUUCGUAAAUCUAUUGUCUUUCUUUAGUUACUCAUUGUCUGCCCUUUGAUCCUGACUGUUCUUAAGUUACUUAUAUGCUGCCCAUCGAUCUUGAUAUUUAUAAUUUCAUUUUUAUGCCCAUCAUUCAGUAGGUAAGGAAAUUGUUUUAAUAGCCUUGAAUCCAUCCCUUUUUUUUUUCUGUAUUUCUAUCCUUAUUGCUGGAAAACAUCCAGCCAAUCCUUCUUUGUUGCGUUUUGAGCCCACUGAAUUGCUUUUAGUAUUAGCUUUUGAUUUGGUAGUUUGCUGCUUGGAUUAAGCUUUUUUAUCUUCUAUGCCAACAGUAUAAGAUGGCACUGUGUUCUAACCAUUCUCCGUCAUUGAGAGUUGGUUAUAUGUUGUCCAAUCUAAUAUAGGAGUUCAUUUGGAUUUGAGUUUGCAAACCAUGAUAGGAAUGCUACUGGGUUCUCUGAUGAGGUUUAUGGUAUUAAGAUGAUAAUAUUGAUUUGACAUGUUCCAUGUGCGGAUCAUCACAGGUGCAAGAGGAGAAGAUCCAACAUCAGCUCCAAAUGUGAGAGUAGUCAGAACCGGAGUACCGAUGGCAAAUGGGGGAAGAAGAAAUCAUGCAUUAAUUCGGAUUCCUUUCCUUCUUAUCAUUUUAGGAACUGUUGGCCUUGGGGGAUUUAAUGCAGCCAGGGCAUAUAGAAAGCAAAAAGAGGCAUAUCCUUCGCAUAAUCCAUUCCUUCCAUGAUCAGAAUUCUGGGUUGCAUAUGAGAUUAUGUUGGUUUCAUUUGAUAUCUACUUGAAAUUGUACUUUUUAAUAGUGUUUAUUUGCAGUAAGGCAAAUUCAUUCAUGCAAUAAAUGGGGUUAAUAGUUUAUAUUGUUCAAA